CUCUAACUCAGCAGUUAUAACUAUGACGAAUCCACAGGUUCUUUCCGGUGAGUUGAAGGCAAGCCGGCAUCGUAAGACUGUUGUCACCCAUGUUUUACGUUCCUGGGAAGCAAGGAAUGUCAAGAAGGGGGGUGAUCUUAUGGGUGUGUACUUGGUUUUGCUUGAUGAAAAGGAUCACAUACUCAGGACACAUAUGCUGAGAAAGCCCAUGAGAGACCACUGCCAGAAUUCCUAGACGAGUUAAUGGGAAGAACCUUCAGGUGACGCUAUAUGAGUUCAACUUCACAACAAAGCUCAUCUUUGACCCUAAAUUAUUUGUCUAAAACACUAUGUGAUAAAUGAGGCCUUGGUUACACCCUGACUAUCUCACUAUCCACCCUACAAUAGAUGAUAGGGGAAGAAGAGAUAAAGUAAAUGUUGCGUUAUUUAGUUAUUGAUGGUCACGUCCUCUUCUCAUAAACAAAAACUCACAGUUCACCGAUUCACAUGUUUCAGGCUAGCUUGCCCGUCAAAUUAGGAAGGAACAUCGGCGUAUAAGACAGCAUUACCGAGUUGACCAAGGCCCAUUUUCUCUUAAAUAAUCAUUACACUUAUUUCCUGAGAGAACACAUUCUAAACACCACAUAACCAUUUACUUUUUUUUUGUUAUUCAGAUAUGGGAAUUCAGCCACAUAACCAACACGAACAAGUCAUCACUCAAUCUGAUAACGAAAGUAAGAAAACAGUAUUCUCAACCUCUCUCCCCAACACAACGUCCUGCUGCAUUUAUACGCCUGUCCGGAGCACUCUAAAUUCCACUUUGUUGUUAUCUCAGGCUUACUACCAGCCUUCCAGGCUACACCUUUGGCUUCUACUGACAACAUGAACACAAGCAACACCGCACUGUACACCUUCAGCUUCAUGUCACGUGUUGCAGAAGCCUUACGCUGCGAUCUAAGCUAAUGUAUACACAAGGUGAUAAGAAAUCAUUAAAAUCGAUGUGUUUACAGAAAGCUUGAACCUGAUGGAGCUAGCCAAACAUCAAAUACGCGGACAACCAGGCAGAAAAGUUCAUUUAUGAAGACAUGCCUCAUCCACAACAAACCUGGAGCUCAGUACAUUGUAGGCAUGGACGAGUACUUUCUGUAUAAAAACAUCGACAAGGCUCAGAGCAGGACUUAGAAAAUUUAGGGGGUUCUAUUAACAAAAACCAGACACUUUUCAAGAAUAUAAUGAAUAAAAAUCUUUAUUUCAAAUCAUAAUUUUCAAUUUUUCAAAGUAUACAAAUUAUUUAUAUCUAUUCUAGAACAAUAUGACAUUCUCCUAAUGUUUCUAUUUUUAUUUUACAAAUAAAUUAUUUUAAUUAAUUAUUUUAUUUUAUAUUUUGAUAUUUUAUACAUCAUUAUAUCAAAAUACAUGUAUCUACAUAUAAAAUAAAUUAUAAACUAUAAUAAAUUAAAAGUUUAAACAAAAAAAGAAAUUAAAUUUUUUCUUUUAUUUCUUUUUUCAAUAUUAAUAAUUAUAGGGUAAAAAAAAUUGCAUUGGGCAAAUCAUAGUAUUUAACCCCUGCGCUAUAUUUAACCAGACCUGCGCAACAUAUCUCUACGGUCUUCUCAUGCUCUGCACUGGAAAGAUUAACGAAGAGAACACUUAUUUGGAUAGACUUGGCUGGGAGGAGAACAAACAAAAAUCAGAUGUGCUUGAUGGGAAUACACACGUAUUAUACUCCGAAUUAAAAGAAAACACAAAAACUAUGUAUCCAAUACGAACAACCAUAAAAAAACAAUGCAAGAAGUGUUAUUAAUACAUACAAAUGAGGAGAUCCUUGCUAUCGUUUAGAUUGGCUGGAGAUAAGAUAUGAGGGUUACACAUGCCA